GGUAAAACCAGCACCUCAAGUGGUCAGGAUGAUUAUUGGGCCUAAAGCAUCCGUAGCCGGCUCUGUAAGUUUUCGGUUAAAUCUGUACGCUCAACGUACAGGCUGCCGGGAAUACUGCAGAGCUAGGGAGUGGGAGAGGUAGACGGUACUCGGUAGGAAGGGGUAAAAUCCUUUGAUCUAUUGAUGACCACCUGUGGCGAAGGCGGUCUACCAGAACACGUCCGACGGUGAGGGAUGAAAGCUGGGGGAGCAAACCGGAUUAGAUACCCGGGUAGUCCCAGCUGUAAACUAUGCAAACUCAGUGAUGCAUUGACUUGUGGUCAAUGCAGUGCUGCAGGGAAGCCGUUAAGUUUGCCGCCUGGGAAGUACGUACGCAAGUAUGAAACUUAAAGGAAUUGGCGGGGGAGCACCACAAGGGGUGAAGCCUGCGGUUCAAUUGGAGUCAACGCCAGAAAUCUUACCCGGAGAGACAGCAGAAUGAAGGUCAAGCUGAAGACUUUACCAGACAAGCUGAGAG
rnacentral:rRNA from 1 species